CUACGGGAGGCAGCAGUGAGGAAUAUUGCACAAUGGGGGGAACCCUGAUGCAGCAACGCCGCGUGGAGGAUGACGCAUUUCGGUGUGUAAACUCCUUUUAUAUGUCAAGAAAAUGACGGUGGCAUAUGAAUAAGCACCGGCUAACUCCGCGCCAGCAGCCGCGGUAAUACGGAGGGUGCAAGCGUUACUCGGAAUCACUGGGCGUAAAGGACGCGUAGGCGGGUUGGAAAGUCAGGUGUGAAAUCCUACAGCUUAACUGUAGAACUGCACUUGAAACUUCUAAUCUAGAGUAUGGGAGGGGGAGAUGGAAUUAGUGGUGUAGGGGUAAAAUCCGUAGAUAUCACUAGGAAUACCUAAAGCGAAGGCGAUCUCCUGGAACAUUACUGACGCUAAGGCGUGAAAGCGUGGGGAGCAAACAGGAUUAGAUACCCCGGUAGUC
rnacentral:rRNA from 1 species